CUUAUGAAGCUUCACUGUUCCCUGAAAUUGGCUUUGGGCCUUUCCUGCGCAUCUUAGGUGGAAGGCGAAGAAGGCCCCCUUCCGAAGGGGUCCGAACCAUCAGUGAGAUACCACUCUGGAAGAGCUAGAAUUCUAACCUUGUGUCAGAACCUACGGGCCAAUGAACAAUAUCAGGUAGACAGUUUUUAUGGGGCGUAGGCCUCUCAAAAAGUAACUGAGGCGUGCAAAGAUUUUCUCGGGCCGGAUGGAGAUUGCCCUCGAGUGCAAAGGCAGAAGGGAAUCAUUUUAGCAUGUUAACAUAAUGACUUCAUGAAUCUAACAUACACGGUUGUACUGUUAAAGGAAGUUAUUUUAGG
rnacentral:ncRNA from 1 species